GCAGCUUGGCUAUUUGUUUAAUAUUGUAACUUUUGUGAGUAGUAUUGUUACGCACUACAAUCUAUUGAGUUUUUAAUAUAUCUCAACUUGGUGUUAAACUGAGGUUGAGCGUUGGGGGGGAAAAUCAGUUUGUCCAGUGUUUUCAGGUCUCGAGGAAAAUGUUUGUCAGUUGUGUACAGUGUAUUCAGGGAUGACUCUGAACAAAAGACUUCUGGGUGUAUGUGUGUUAGCUUGGCAAGGUUAAGUGACGGCAGCAGCAACCUUGCCGCAAAUUAAUUCAAUCUGCGGGGCUAUUAUUUUCCGGAUUUAUGGUUUUUGCCGAAUGCUUUCUCUAAAGCUCUUCUAGCAGCCAGACUGUAAGAGGAAAACUGUUGUCCAAAUGAAAUAUUGGUAAACGCUUGGCGAAAUCUUAUGAAAUGAGUUCUGCGCCUAAUUCAACAGUAAUCGGCGUUCUGAUAGAAAGCUUCUGCUUUGGCUGGUAUUUUAUAAGGAAACGGAUCAGAUCGCCGAUUCUAAGGCUGUGACUGUGCUGCAAUGGAACGCAGCUUUGUGGACAAAAUCUUUCCUAAGAGAGCAGAGGAGGAUGGAGAUGUCUUGGCAUUCUAGCUGUCAGGUCUUUGUAAGGUAUCCCGUACCUUCUCACAUAACACUACAGGGGGCGAUGUUGGAUCUCCGGACAGAGAAGGUACCUAAAAGAACCCGAGGCCUCCCACCGAAACACUCUUGCACCUAGAAAGCCAAGCGCCGGGUUGGGCAAUUGGGUGCCUGGCCUCCUCUUGCCGGCUAUUGGCUGACGUUUCUGAAAGAGCGCAUUGGAGGAGAGGGACGGGCCUGCACUGCAUUGGCUGGCGUCAUGCGCCAAGCUGUGGAAAUGCUGAUAAAGAAGGGGAAGCCACAGCCUCUCGGCCCUCAUGGAAUGGUACCAUUUUAGCCUGAUGUGGAAGCUGAGAGCAUCUGAUAGCAUGGGGUUCCAGCCCUGGGGUGGGACCAGGAGUGCUGCUGCCUGGGGUGAUGCAUCACUGAAACGAAGAUGACAUCAAAUGUAGCCCAUGUUGAAUCGACCAGCGACUGCUCAUGUCACGCUGCCUGGGAUACAAAUCUGGAAUAUAGAACAGCGCUGUAAACGAUGUGAGAGGAAGGCGUCCCGGCCAGUAAGUCACACCACUGAAAAGCACAGGGGGCUCUACUCACUGCUCAGACAAUGAAUUAAUGGAACAGAUGCUGGAAAACAGUGCAAGCGACUGUAAUGGAAGGACAUCGGCCUCAACAUUGUCAACACGAGGCGGGGCCUUGUAGCAAAAUAGUGAAAUGCAUCAUUUUUGUGAAAAUAACUAAAUGACUAUUAAAAACAACAAAGAAUAAAAAUAUAUAUUGCAACAAUAAUAAUAUGUGAUGGACUGACACUACAAGGUGGACUCAAGGCUCUGAGGUACCUGGGACAGACUCCAGACUGUGACCCUAUCCUGGAUGAUCAGGUAAGAUGGUUGUAAUAAUAAUAAUAAUAAUA